GAUGAACGCUGGCGGCGUGCCUAAUACAUGCAAGUCGAGCGAAUGGAUUAAGAGCUUGCUCUUAUGAAGUUAGCGGCGGACGGGUGAGUAACACGUGGGUAACCUGCCCAUAAGACUGGGAUAACUCCGGGAAACCGGGGCUAAUACCGGAUAACAUUUUGAACCGCAUGGUUCGAAAUUGAAAGGCGGCUUCGGCUGUCACUUAUGGAUGGACACGCGUCGCAUUAGCUAGUUGGUGAGGUAAGGGCUCACCAAGGCAACGAUGCGUAGCCGACCUGAGAGGGUGAUCGGCCACACUGGGACUGAGACACGGCCCAGACUCCUACGGGAGGCAGCAGUAGGGAAUCUUCCGCAAUGGACGAAAGUCUGACGGAGCAACGCCGCGUGAGUGAUGAAGGCUUUCGGGUCGUAAAACUCUGUUGUUAGGGAAGAACAAGUGCUAGUUGAAUAAGCUGACACCUUGACGGUACCUAACCAAAAAGCACCGGCUAACUACGUGCCAGCCGCCGCGGUAA
rnacentral:rRNA from 1 species